GCACAAGCGGUGGAGCAUGUGGUUUAAUCGAAGCAACGCGAAGAACCUUUACCAGGUCUUGACAUCCCGAUGCUUAUUUCUAGAGAUAGAAAGUUACUUCGGUACAUCGGUGACAGGUGGUGCAUGGUUGUCGUCAGCUCGUGUCGUGAGAUGUUGGGUUAAGUCCCGCAACGAGCGCAACCCCUAUUGUUAGUUGCCAUCAUUCAGUUGGGCACUCUAGCGAGACUGCCGGUAAUAAACCGGAGGAAGGUGGGGAUGACGUCAAAUCAUCAUGCCCCUUAUGACCUGGGCUACACACGUGCUACAAUGGUUGGUACAACGAGUUGCGAGUCGGUGACGGCGAGCUAAUCUCUUAAAGCCAAUCUCAGUUCGGAUUGUAGGCUGCAACUCGCCUACAUGAAGUCGGAAUCGCUAGUAAUCGCGGAUCAGCACGCCGCGGUGAGUACGUUCCCGGGCCUU
rnacentral:rRNA from 1 species